rnacentral:rRNA from 1 species
UAGCUCUACCUUAGCUUCUCAUUAUACCAAAAACCCUCCCAAACUUAAGAGCCAUUCAAAUAAGGCACAGCUUAUUUGAAAUAGGGCACAACCUCUAACACCGGGUAAAUAAGGGUAACUUAAACAAAGUAGGCCUAAGAGCAGCCACCUUUAAAAAAGCGUUAAAGCUUAUCUAUAAAUACCCACAAUUUCCUAAAUCCCCAUUAACCCUUCACCACUACUGAACUAUUUUAUACCCGUAUAAAAGCUUUAAUGCUAGAACUAGUAACAAGAAAUAGCCCUUCUCCAAAAUGUAAGCUUACACCAAAAUGGACUAUCCAUUGGUAAUUAACGCAAAUGUUGCAGUCACAGCAACACACCUCUAGAAAACCCUGUGACCUCCUACGUUACCCUUACACUAGAACAUCUCAGGAAAGAUUAAAAGAGAAAGAAGGAACUCGGCAAAUCCUCAGCCCCGCCUGUUUACCAAAAACAUCGCCUCUUGACCAAGUAUAAGAGGUCCAGCCUGCCCAGUGACAAAAUUCAACGGCCGCGGUACCCUAACCGUGCGAAGGUAGCAUAAUCACUUGUUCUCUAAAUAGGGACUAGUAUCAACGGCAUCACGAGGGCUGUACUGUCUCCUUUCUCCAAUCAGUGAAACUGAUCUCCCCGUGAAGAAGCGGGGAUUAUUAUAUAAGACGAGAAGACCCCAUGGAGCUUUAAACUCAUCACUCACUUCCUCACCUCCAUGCCCGACCAUAUAAGGAAUCUGUGUGAUAGUUUUGGGUUGGGGGGACCACGGAGUACAAUUUAACCUCCAUGACAAAUGGGCUAACGCCCUUAUCUAUGAACUACAACUCUAAGAAUCAUAAACUGAUGUUUGAUGACCCGACAAUUCGAUCAACGAACCAAGUUACCCUGGGGAUAACAGCGCAAUCUACUUCAAGAGCCCCUAUCGACAAGUAGGUUUACGACCUCGAUGUUGGAUCAGGGUAUCCUAGGGGUGCAGCCGCUCCUAACGGUUCGUUUGUUCAACGAUUAAAACCCUACGUGAUCU